rnacentral:rRNA from 1 species
UACGAAGGGGGGCUAGCGUUGCUCGGAAUCACUGGGCGUAAAGGGUGCGUAGGCGGGUCUUUAAGUCAGGGGUGAAAUCCUGGAGCUCAACUCCAGAACUGCCUUUGAUACUGAAGAUCUUGAGUUCGGGAGAGGUGAGUGGAACUGCGAGUGUAGAGGUGAAAAUUCGUAGAUAUUCGCAAGAACACCAGUGGCGAAGGCGGCUCACUGGCCCGAUACUGACGCUGAGGCACGAAAGCGUGGGGAGCAAAGCAGGAU